rnacentral:rRNA from 1 species
UGCAGUCGAACGAUGAAGCCCUUCGGGGUGGAUUAGUGGCGAACGGGUGAGUAACACGUGGGCAAUCUGCCCUUCACUCUGGGACAAGCCCUGGAAACGGGGUCUAAUACCGGAUAACACCUGCCCGGGCAUCCGGGUGGGUUAAAAGCUCCGGCGGUGAAGGAUGAGCCCGCGGCCUAUCAGCUUGUUGGUGAGGUAGUGGCUCACCAAGGCGACGACGGGUAGCCGGCCUGAGAGGGCGACCGGCCACACUGGGACUGAGACACGGCCCAGACUCCUACGGGAGGCAGCAGUGGGGAAUAUUGCACAAUGGGCGAAAGCCUGAUGCAGCGACGCCGCGUGAGGGAUGACGGCCUUCGGGUUGUAAACCUCUUUCAGCAGGGAAGAAGCGAAAGUGACGGUACCUGCAGAAGAAGCGCCGGCUAACUACGUGCCAGCAGCCGCGGUAAUACGUAGGGCGCAAGCGUUGUCCGGAAUUAUUGGGCGUAAAGAGCUCGUAGGCGGCUUGUCACGUCGGGUGUGAAAGCCCGGGGCUUAACCCCGGGUCUGCAUUCGAUACGGGCUAGCUAGAGUGUGGUAGGGGAGAUCGGAAUUCCUGGUGUAGCGGUGAAAUGCGCAGAUAUCAGGAGGAACACCGGUGGCGAAGGCGGAUCUCUGGGCCAUUACUGACGCUGAGGAGCGAAAGCGUGGGGAGCGAACAGGAUUAGAUACCCUGGUAGUCCACGCCGUAAACGGUGGGAACUAGGUGUUGGCGACAUUCCACGUCGUCGGUGCCGCAGCUAACGCAUUAAGUUCCCCGCCUGGGGAGUACCGGCCGCAAGGCUAAAACUCAAAGGAAUUGACGGGGGGCCCGCACAAGCAGCGGAACCAUGUGGCUUUAAUUCGACGCAACGCCGAAAAACCUUACCAAAGGUUUGACAUACACCCGGAAA